GACGAACGCUGGCGGCGUGCUUAACACAUGCAAGUCGAACGGAAAGGCCCUGUCGGGGGUGCAUGAGCGGGGAACGGACGGGUAAGAAGCAGGUGAGUAACCCGGCACUGAGGGAGAGAUAAGGGAAAGAGAGUGGAACAAAGGAUAGGAAGACGCGAUGGAUGCAGGGUGGGGGUAGGAAAGUUUGGGCGGGUGGGGAUGGGCGCGCGGCCUAUCAGCUUGUUGGUGGGGGGGUGGCCUACCAAGGCAUGGACGGGUAGCCGGCCUGAGAGGGUGUCCGGCCACACUGGGACUGAGAUACGGCCCAGACUCCUACGGGAGGCAGCAGUGGGGAAUAUUGCACAAUGGGCGCAAGCCUGAUGCAGCGACGCCGCGUGCGGGAUGACGGCCUUCGGGUUGUAAACCCCUUUCGCCUCUGCCGAAGCGUAAGUGACGGUAAUUGCUGAAGAAGCACCGGCCAACUACGUG
rnacentral:rRNA from 1 species